AUUGAACGCUGGCGGCAUGCUUUACACAUGCAAGUCGAACGGUAACAGGCCGCAAGGUGCUGACGAGUGGCGAACGGGUGAGUAAUGCAUCGGAACGUGCCCAGUCGUGGGGGAUAACGCAGCGAAAGCUGCGCUAAUACCGCAUACGAUCUAUGGAUGAAAGCGGGGGACCGGAAGGCCUCGCGCGAUUGGCGCGGCCGAUGUCAGAUUAGGUAGUUGGUGAGGUAAAGGCUCACCAAGCCAACGAUCUGUAGCUGGUCUGAGAGGACGACCAGCCACACUGGGACUGAGACACGGCCCAGACUCCUACGGGAGGCAGCAGUGGGGAAUUUUGGACAAUGGGCGCAAGCCUGAUCCAGCAAUGCCGCGUGCAGGAAGAAGGCCUUCGGGUUGUAAACUGCUUUUGUACGGAACGAAACGGUCCGGGUUAAUACCCUGGGCUAAUGACGGUACCGUAAGAAUAAGCACCGGCUAACUACGUGCCAGCCGCCGCAGUAAGAC
rnacentral:rRNA from 1 species